rnacentral:rRNA from 1 species
UAGAGUUUGAUCCUGGCUCAGAUUGAACGCUGGCGGCAGGCUUAACACAUGCAAGUCGAGCGGAGAUGAGGUGCUUGCACCUUAUCUUAGCGGCGGACGGGUGAGUAAUGCUUAGGAAUCUGCCUAUUAGUGGGGGACAACAUUCCGAAAGGAAUGCUAAUACCGCAUACGUCCUACGGGAGAAAGCAGGGGAUCUUCGGACCUUGCGCUAAUAGAUGAGCCUAAGUCGGAUUAGCUAGUUGGUGGGGUAAAGGCCUACCAAGGCGACGAUCUGUAGCGGGUCUGAGAGGAUGAUCCGCCACACUGGGACUGAGACACGGCCCAGACUCCUACGGGAGGCAGCAGUGGGGAAUAUUGGACAAUGGGGGAACCCUGAUCCAGCCAUGCCGCGUGUGUGAAGAAGGCCUUAUGGUUGUAAAGCACUUUAAGCGAGGAGGAGGCUACUGAGACUAAUACUCUUGGAUAGUGGACGUUACUCGCAGAAUAAGCACCGGCUAACUCUGUGCCAGCAGCCGCGGUAAUACAGAGGGUGCGAGCGUUAAUCGGAUUUACUGGGCGUAAAGCGUGCGUAGGCGGCUUUUUAAGUCGGAUGUGAAAUCCCCGAGCUUAACUUGGGAAUUGCAUUCGAUACUGGGAAGCUAGAGUAUGGGAGAGGAUGGUAGAAUUCCAGGUGUAGCGGUGAAAUGCGUAGAGAUCUGGAGGAAUACCGAUGGCGAAGGCAGCCAUCUGGCCUAAUACUGACGCUGAGGUACGAAAGCAUGGGGAGCAAACAGGAUUAGAUACCCUGGUAGUCCAUGCCGUAAACGAUGUCUACUAGCCGUUGGGGCCUUUGAGGCUUUAGUGGCGCAGCUAACGCGAUAAGUAGACCGCCUGGGGAGUACGGUCGCAAGACUAAAACUCAAAUGAAUUGACGGGGGGCCCGCACAAGCGGUGGAGCAUGUGGUUUAAUUC